GACGAACGCUGGCGGCGUGCCUAAUACAUGCAAGUAGAACGCUGAAGGAGGAGCUUGCUUCUCUGGAUGAGUUGCGAACGGGUGAGUAACGCGUAGGUAACCUGCCUGGUAGCGGGGGAUAACUAUUGGAAACGAUAGCUAAUACCGCAUAAGAGUAGAUGUUGCAUGACAUUUGCUUAAAAGGUGCAAUUGCAUCACUACCAGAUGGACCUGCGUUGUAUUAGCUAGUUGGUGGGGUAACGGCUCACCAAGGCGACGAUACAUAGCCGACCUGAGAGGGUGAUCGGCCACACUGGGACUGAGACACGGCCCAGACUCCUACGGGAGGCAGCAGUAGGGAAUCUUCGGCAAUGGACGGAAGUCUGACCGAGCAACGCCGCGUGAGUGAAGAAGGUUUUCGGAUCGUAAAGCUCUGUUGUAAGAGAAGAACGAGUGUGAGAGUGGAAAGUUCACACUGUGACGGUAUCUUACCAGAAAGGGACGGCUAACUACGU
rnacentral:rRNA from 1 species